AGGAGGAACAGCCCCAGUGUCGGGGCAGCUCUGGAAACCUGGAUUCAGCUCCGGCAGGAACUCCGUCUGCAGGGCCUGGAGGCUCCGGGCCGGG
rnacentral:pre_miRNA from 1 species